rnacentral:rRNA from 1 species
AUUGAACGCUGGCGGCAGGCCUAACACAUGCAAGUCGAGCGAGCGGCGGACGGGUGAGUAAUGUCUAGGAAACUGCCUGAUGGAGGGGGAUAACUGCUGGAAACGGUAGCUAAUACCGCAUACCAUCAGACGUGCCCAGAUGGGGUUAGCUAGUAGGUGGGGUAACGGCCUACCUAGGCGACGAUCCCUAGCUGGUCUGAGGGGAUGACCAGUAAAACUGAAAAUGAGACACGGUCCAGACACCUACGGGAGGCAGCAGUGGGGAAUAUUGCACAAUGGGCGCAAGCCUGAUGCAGCCAUGCCGCGUGUGUGAAGAAGGCCUUCGGGUUGUAAAGCACUUUAAGCGGGGAGGCGUUACCCACAGAAGAAGCACCGGCUAACUCCGUGCCAGCAGCCGCGGUAAUAC